GAUGAACGCUAGCGACAGGCCUAACACAUGCAAGUCGAGGGGUAGCACAGGAUAGCUUGCUAUUUGGGUGACGACCGGCGCACGGGUGAGUAACGCGUAUGCAACCUGCCUAUAAGAGGGGGAUAGCCUUUCGAAAGAAAGAUUAAUACCGCAUAAUACCAAUUUGCUGCAUGGUAGAUUGGUUAAACUAUUUGGCUUAUAGAUGGGCAUGCGUUCCAUUAGAUAGUUGGUGAGGUAACGGCUCACCAAGUCAGCGAUGGAUAGGGGUUCUGAGAGGAAGGUCCCCCACACUGGUACUGAGACACGGACCAGACUCCUACGGGAGGCAGCAGUGAGGAAUAUUGGUCAAUGGGCGAGAGCCUGAACCAGCCAAGUCGCGUGAAGGAUGAAGGUCUUAUGGAUUGUAAACUUCUUUUAUAAGGGAAUAAAAAAGAUCACGUGUGGUCUAUUGCAUGUACCUUAUGAAUAAGCAUCGGCUAACUCCGUGCCAGCAGCCGCGGUAAUACGGAGGAUGCGAGCGUUAUCCGGAUUUAUUGGGUUUAAAGGGUGCGUAGGCGGUUUAUUAAGUCAGUGGUGAAAGUUUUCGGCUCAACCGGAAAAUUGCCAUUGAAACUGAUAGACUUGAGUGUAAACGAGGUAG
rnacentral:rRNA from 1 species